CGAACGCUGGCGGCGUGCUUAACACAUGCAAGUCGUACGGUAAGGCCCUUUCGGGGGUACACGAGUGGCGAACGGGUGAGUAACACGUGAGUAACCUGCCCACAACUUUGGGAUAACGCUAGGAAACUGGUGCUAAUACUGGAUAUGUGCUCCUGCUGCAUGGUGGGGGUUGGAAAGCUCCGGCGGUUGUGGAUGGACUCGCGGCCUAUCAGCUUGUUGGUGGGGUAGUGGCCUACCAAGGCGGCGACGGGUAGCCGGCCUGAGAGGGUGACCGGCCACAUUGGGACUGAGAUACGGCCCAGACUCCUACGGGAGGCAGCGGUGGGGAAUAUUGCACAAUGGGCGCAAGCCUGAUGCAGCAACGCCGCGUGCGGGAUGACGGCCUUCGGGUUGUAAACCGCUUUCAGCAGGGACGAAGCUUUUUGUGACGGUACCUGCAGAAGAAGCACCGGCUAACUACGUG
rnacentral:rRNA from 1 species